GGAAAGCUCCGCCAUAGAAGGUAAUAGCCCUGUAGUUGAAACGAGAAAGCUACUAGUAUGAUCCAGAGUACCACGGGACACGUGAAACCCUGUGGGAAGCAGGAGGGACCAUCCUCCAAGCCUAAAUACUACCUAGUGACCGAUAGCGCAUAGUACCGUGAGGGAAAGGUGAAAAGAACCCCGGGAGGGGAGUGAAAUAGAACCUGAAACCCUGCACUUACAAGCUGUGGGAGCACAUUACUUGUGUGACCGCGUACUUUUUGUAGAACGGGCCAACGAGUUACGUUAAGUAGCAAGGUUAAGCACUUAAGGUGUGGAGCCGUAGCGAAAGCGAGUCUUAAAUGGGCGAUUAAGUUACUUGGCGUAGACCCGAAACCGGGCGACCUAUCCAUGAGCAGGUUGAAGCGAAAGUAAAAUUUCGUGGAGGACCGAACCCACGAGCGUUGAAAAGCUCGGGGAUGACUUGUGGAUAGCGGUGAAAUUCCAAUCGAGCCCGGAGAUAGCUGGUUCUCCCCGAAAUAGCUUUAGGGCUAGCCUCAAGCGUAGAGAAACGGAGGUAGAGCACUGAAUGUCCUAGGGGGUAUUGCACUUACCGAAGACUAUCAAACUCCGAAUGCCGUUUUCUUUUACUUGGGAGUCAGACUGUGGGUGAUAAGAUUCAUAGUCAAAAGGGCAACAGCCCAGAUCGUCAGCUAAGGUCCCUAAAUGUACGUUAAGUGGUAAAGGAUGUGGGAUUGCACAGACAACCAGGAUGUUGGCUUAGAAGCAGCCACUCAUUUAAAGAGUGCGUAAUAGCUCACUGGUCGAGUGAUCCUGCGCCGAAAAUUUCCGGGGCUAAAACGUACUACCGAAGCUACGGCAUCAUUUAUGAUGGGUAGGGGAGCUUCGUAUGCAGGCUGAAGCAUGACCGUAAGGACAUGUGGACAGUAUACGAGUGAGAAUGUUGGCAUGAGUAGCGAGACGUGGGUGAGAAUCCCACGGGCCGUAAACCCAAGGUUUCCAGGGGAAGGUUCGUCCGCCCUGGGUUAGUCGGGACCUAAGCCGAGGCCGAAAGGCGUAGGUGAUGGACAACAGGUUGAUAUUCCUGUACCGCCAAUAAGCGUUUGAGAGAUGGAGUGACACAGUAGGAUAAGCUAACCGUACUGUUGGUUAUGUACGGCUAAGCAUUGAGGCAGUCUAAAUAGGCAAAUCCGUUUAGACAAUGCUAGGAUGUGAUGGGGAAGCCCUUCGGGGCGAAGUAGCUGAUUUCACACUGUCAAGAAAAGCUUCUAUCGAGUUUAAAGGCGCCCGUACCGUAAACCGACACAGGUGGGUGAGGAGAGAAUCCUAAGGCCAGCGAGAGAACUAUUGUUAAGGAACUCGGCAAAAUGACCCCGUAACUUCGGGAGAAGGGGUGCCUACGAGAGUAGGCCGCAGAGAAUAGGCCCAAGCGACUGUUUACCAAAAACACAGGUUUCUGCUAAGUCGCAAGACGAUGUAUAGGAGCUGACGCCUGCCCGGUGCUGGAAGGUUAAGGGGAUCUGUUAGAGCAAUCGAAGCAGUGAACUUAAGCCCCAGUAAACGGCGGCCGUAACUAUAACGGUCCUAAGGUAGCGAAAUUCCUUGUCGGGUAAGUUCCGACCCGCACGAAAGGCGUAACGAUUUGGGCACUGUCUCAACAAUAGACUCGGUGAAAUUGUAAUCCCGGUGAAGAUGCCGGGUACCUGCGACAGGACGGAAAGACCCCAUGGAGCUUUACUGUAGCUUGACGUUGGGUCUUGGUACUACAUGUACAGGAUAGGUGGGAGACUAUGAAGCAUGGACGCCAGUCUGUGUGGAGUCAUCCUUGGGAUACCACCCUUGUAGUACUGGGAUUCUAACCAUAGGCCUUGAAUCAGGUCUUGGAACACCGUCAGGUGGGCAGUUUGACUGGGGCGGUCGCCUCCUAAAAAGUAACGGAGGCGCUCAAAGGUUUCCUCAGCACGGUCGGAAAUCGUGCGAAGAGUGUAAAGGCAAAAGGAAGCUUGAUUGCAAGACAUACAGGUCGAGCAAGGACGAAAGUCGGACUUAGUGAUCCGGUGGUACCGCAUGGAAGGGCCAUCGCUCAACGGAUAAAAGCUACCCUGGGG
rnacentral:rRNA from 1 species